AUUGAACGCUGGCGGCAGGCCUAACACAUGCAAGUCGAGCGGAUGAAGGGAGCUUGCUCCUGGAUUCAGCGGCGGACGGGUGAGUAAUGCCUAGGAAUCUGCCUGGUAGUGGGGGAUAACGUCCGUACACGGGCGCUAAUACCGCAUACGUCCUGAGGGAGAAAGUGGGGGAUCUUCGGACAUCACGCUAUCAGAUGAGCCUAGGUCGGAUUAGCUAGUUGGUGGGGUAAAGGCCUACCAAGGCGACGAUCCGUAACUGGUCUGAGAGGAUGAUCAGUCACACUGGAACUGAGACACGGUCCAGACUCCUACGGGAGGCAGCAGUGGGGAAUAUUGGACAAUGGGCGAAAGCCUGAUCCAGCCAUGCCGCGUGUGUGAAGAAGGUCUUCGGAUCGUAAAGCACUUUAAGUUGGGAGGAAGGGCAGUAAGUUAAUAUCUUGCUGUCUUGACGUUACCAACAGAAUAAGCACCGGCUAACUUCGUG
rnacentral:rRNA from 1 species